AACGAAGGUGGCUAGCGUUGUUCGGAAUUACUGGGCAUAAAGAGCGCGUAGGUGGUCUUAUAUGUCGAUUGUGAAAUCCUGCAGCUCAACUGCAGAACUGCAAUCGAAACUGUGAGACUCGAGGACAGGAGGGGAGAGUGGAAUUCCUAGUGUAGCGGUGAAAUGCGUAGAUAUUAGGAGGAACGCCGGUGGCGAAAGCGACUCUCUGGACUGUUUCUGACACUGAGGCGCGAAAGCUAGGGGAGCAAACAGG
rnacentral:rRNA from 1 species